UACGAAGGGGGCUAGCGUUGCUCGGAAUUACUGGGCGUAAAGCGCACGUAGGCGGCUUUCUAAGUCGGGGGUGAAAUCCUGGAGCUCAACUCCAGAACUGCCUUCGAUACUGGAGAGCUUGAGUCCGGGAGAGGUGAGUGGAACUGCGAGUGUAGAGGUGAAAUUCGUAGAUAUUCGGAAGAACACCAGUGGCGAAGGCGACUUACUGGACACAUAUUGACGCUGAGGUGCGAAAAGCGUGGGGAGCAAACAGG
rnacentral:rRNA from 1 species